GAUGAACGCUGGCGGCGUGCCUAAUACAUGCAAGUCGAGCGAACAGACGAGGAGCUUGCUCCUCUGACGUUAGCGGCGGACGGGUGAGUAACACGUGGAUAACCUACCUAUAAGACUGGGAUAACUUCGGGAAACCGGAGCUAAUACCGGAUAAUAUAUUGAACCGCAUGGUUCAAUAGUGAAAGACGGUUUUGCUGUCACUUAUAGAUGGAUCCGCGCCGCAUUAGCUAGUUGGUAAGGUAACGGCUUACCAAGGCGACGAUGCGUAGCCGACCUGAGAGGGGGAUCGGCCACACUGGAACUGAGACACGGUCCAGACUCCUACGGGAGGCAGCAGUAGGGAAUCUUCCGCAAGGGGCGAAAGCCUGACGGAGCAACGCCGCGUGAGUGAUGAAGGUCUUCGGAUCGUAAAACUCUGUUAUUAGGGAAGAACAAAUGUGUAAGUAACUAUGCACGUCUUGACGGUACCUAAUCAGAAAGCCACGGCUAACUACGUG
rnacentral:rRNA from 1 species